rnacentral:sRNA from 1 species
GUUGCCCUGGCGGAGCAGAGGCAGGCCCUCGGGGUGGAGGUCUUUGGUUUCAUAAGAGCCUGAGAGAGAUUUUUCUAAGAUAUGUGUAACACACCAACAUACUGUGACCUAGGAAAGGCUGCUAAGGAUGUCUUCAACAAAGGAUAUGGCUUUGGCAUGGUCAAGAUAGACCUGAAAACCAAGUCUUGUAGUGGAGUGAUGGAAUUUUCUACUUCUGGUCAUGCUUACACUGAUACAGGGAAAGCAUCAGGCAACCUAGAAACCAAAUAUAAGGUCUGUAACUAUGGACUUACCUUCACCCAGAAAUGGAACACAGACAAUACUCUAGGGACAGAAAUCUCUUGGGAGAAUAAGUUGGCUGAAGGGUUGAAACUGACUCUUGAUACCAUAUUUGUACCGAACACAGGAAAGAAGAGUGGGAAAUUGAAGGCCUCCUAUAAACGAGAUUGUUUUAGUGUUGGCAGUAAUGUUGAUAUAGAUUUUUCUGGACCAACCAUCUAUGGCUGGGCUGUGUUGGCCUUCGAAGGGUGGCUUGCUGGCUAUCAGAUGAGUUUUGACACAGCCAAAUCCAAACUGUCACAGAAUAAUUUCGCCCUGGGUUACAAGGCUGCGGACUUCCAGCUGCACACACAUGUGUGAGUGUUUAUAAUUUAUUCCUAAGUAUCAGUGCAGUUGCCCAAAAUAUUGUAGCCAUUAGCAUGCUGAGAAGUGAUGGUACUCAGAUUUAGCAUGCCUUGGUGAAUAUCCAUCCUUGCGGUGCUAUCCUCAUAGCAAAACCUUGCCA